GUCGAGCGGUAGAGAGGUGCUUGCACCUCUUGAGAGCGGCGGACGGGUGAGUAAAGCCUAGGAAUCUGCCUGGUAGUGGGGGAUAACGCUCGGAAACGGACGCUAAUACCGCAUACGUCCUACGGGAGAAAGCAGGGGACCUUCGGGCCUUGCGCUAUCAGAUGAGCCUAGGUCGGAUUAGCUAGUUGGUGAGGUAAUGGCUCACCAAGGCGACGAUCCGUAACUGGUCUGAGAGGAUGAUCAGUCACAUUGGAACUGAGACACGGUCCAGACUCCUACGGGAGGCAGCAGUGGGGAAUAUUGGACAAUGGGCGAAAGCCUGAUCCAGCCAUGCCGCGUGUGUGAAGAAGGUCUUCGGAUUGUAAAGCACUUUAAGUUGGGAGGAAGGGCAUUAACCUAAUACGUUAGUGUUUUGACGUUACCGACAGAAUAAGCACCGGCUAACUCUGUGCCAGCAGCCGCGGUAAUACAGAGGGUGCAAGCGUUAAUCGGAAUUACUGGGCGUAAAGCGCGCGUAGGUGGUUCGUUAAGUUGGAUGUGAAAUCCCCGGGCUCAACCUGGGAACUGCAUUCAAAACUGUCGAGCUAGAGUAUGGUAGA
rnacentral:rRNA from 1 species